GGAGCCUGCAGGGUCGAGGGCUGUGUAUUGUAAUGUGCAAAGGGCUGGGAGUAGAGAGAAUUCAUCAUGCCCUGCUGAGACUGUAGGGGGUUUGCAUUGGUCACAUUAUAGUGACUUUGGGAGGCUUCAUCUAGUGAGGGAUCGCUGAAACCAACUUGAGUAAAUAAACCUUGUGAACCAUGGUUCAUGUAGUCCUGUGACAUGAAAUCAUUUCCUGUUCCAAAACGGGAAUAUCCAG
rnacentral:misc_RNA from 1 species